rnacentral:lncRNA from 1 species
AAAAUAUAACAUGCACUUAACAUGAGUCAAAAAAAAUAUAUACAGUUGCACCCAAAUUCUGGAAACAUUCCAUUUCGGAAAUAACAUGGUAUAGUUCUCAUUUCUCACACAGAAGAAUUAUAUAUAAGAAGUUCAACCUUUCCACAUUUUGUCUCAAUAUUUGUUUUGUUCAAAUACCGCUGUAAUAAACUACACUUCAACCUAAGAUUAAUCUCUUAAAAUACAGAAAAUCAUUACAUGUAUUAUGUAUGCAUAUUCCUAGCAUGACAACCCACUGAUAUUGCUCUCGACUUGGUCUGUAUUAGCAUCACAACUUCAUGUGCUUACUUAAUCCAAGUCAUGGCCGGAUGUGCAUAUCAGCAUAUGCUUCAAGCAAGCUAUGGUUGAAGAAAACCACCAUGUCCCUCUCUUGUUUCUAUCAAUUUGCAGUCCUCCCUUCAUGCUUAGGAGGCCCUGAAGCCCUCUUCUUCACCCAAACAGUAUACCUAGAAGAGUUCACUGAUUAGUGUCAUGAUAAAAAAUGAUGCAAACUGAUGAAAGCUCUCAAGAUAACAAAGCUUUUAGACAAAACAGAAUGGCCAUUCAACCUCUAGUGAAUAAACAAUAUAAUGACGAUUAGUGCUAGAGAAUUAAUUAAAUUAUAGCAUUGGACAUCAAAUAAAUUUGAAUGAAGUGAAGAAAGAGGUACAACAAAAAGCAGGCGUCUUGAGUAAUGAUUAACCUACACAUAUCAUACAUGAAUGAGGGAGGGAGGAAUUUGAAAUUUUAGUGGCAAUAAGAAUGACAUGGUUUCGAUUCUGAAUCUCUACUGGGAUGAAAGUGAAAAUACAGUGGGAACAUAGCAUCACAAACCAAUGAUUGCAUUGCCUGCUACUCUGCACAUGGCUGCAAUAAGCAUACCUAUAUGAAUGCUCUAGAAUUCUGGCAGGAUAUCACAUACACACUAAAUGUGUAGCUCCUCUGCUCCUCCGGCUGUGGGAUUUUUUUUGGGUAACAGAUGCCUGAACCAUGGCGUCUUUGCUUGCUUAUCUGCACACACGAAUCAUGUAAAAGUGUCACAACAACCCAUCGGGGCACCCAUCAGAUCUAAUAAGAGAUGGCUUGAUCAGCAACGGUGGACGAAGGAACAAAUCAUCGUCAGGGAGCGCAUUCAUAUCAAAAUAGCGAUCGAUAUGACGGAGGUGUUAGUCACCAUCAUGCUAGCCGACAAGAUGUGGUCCUCGAGAAAACGUUAUCUAAAUACAGGCUAUAGUUUGUGUGCAAGUCUGCACAAUUUAGAAACCUAAUGUUCUGUCAGUAUCUAAGGAACAAGUUAACAAAACCAAUUUACAGAAGCAGCA